CUUAAAAUCAUAUGCAUUAAUUUAAUGUACCAGUUUUUUCGAUGGCAAGUUGCUAUAGAAGAAUUCUUGAGCUAGAAGCUUCUCGUGACCUUUCAAGUUUUUGGUUACUUGCAGAAAUGGAUGUUUUCUAUGCAGCAGUUGAGACUUUAAGUAACCCUACAUUCAACGGAAAGGCAAUGGCUGUUGGUAGCAUGUCUAUGAUAUCCACUUCCAGUCAUAAGGCCCGGAAAUUUGGGGUUCGUUCUGCCAUCCCCAAGUUCAUUGCGCAUAAGUAAUGUCCAGAAUUGAUCUUUGUCCCAAGAGAUUUCAAGAAGCAUAUGUAGAUUUCAAGAAGUAUAUGUAUUACAGUGAUUUGACCAUAAAAGUUCUUCAGAGGUAUGAUCCCAAUUUCAUUGCUGGUAGCCUGGAUGGAGCAUACCUUGAUAAAACUGAAGUUUGCAAAGAAAGGAAUGUCAAAAGUGAAGAAGUACUCUAUUGGGAAUGAAUCUUUCAUAUCGUAAAGCUUAGACGUAGCGAUUUUGAUACAAAUGAGAAGUUUUGGACAAGGUUUCCGAUUCAAGGAUCUAAAGUUAUUCCACCACAUAUAUCAGUAUA